GAGAAUGCUGAGCACCAGUUUGACUGGAGGAGAAGCUUUCCAGGAAUUUUAAGUCUUCUUCCUAUUUUUGUUCUUACAAGCAGUGGGGAGACCAAUGAGUGACGUCACUACUGAGACACUUUUUAGGACUUGAGGACAAAUGCGUGCGAGGAAUUCUUCACGUUUGUGCUUCGUGUUGUGUUAUUGUUUGUUGUCGUGAAGCUCUCAAAGGAGCGGACUUCCAUUGCGUUCCCAAGCAAUAGCUUGUCAUUUCUAACCUUAGUUGCUUUAAUGCAGUUAUUUGUGCUACAAAUAGAUGCACCAGCUACUCUGAUGACUUGUUGAGUAUUAAUAGCAUUGUUAAUUUGAGCUUUUUUUUUUAAAAUUUAUUUCACUUUUAUUGAGUUGAAGGAGCUUGAGACCGAAUUUUAAGCAAACGAUGGCACAGAAGGAGGGAGGAACAGAGCAGUGGUGCAUCAAGACCGGGGACAAUUUUGGUGCCAAAGCCAUGCCGGGGGCCCCCGCACCAGGGGGCGGUGUGGUGGUGCAGGUCCGCGAGAAGAAGGGACCCCUCAGGGCCGCCAUACCCACAAUGCCCUUCCCUCUGGCGGUCAUCUGCCUCUUCCUUAACACCUUCAUACCUGGACUUGGUACCUUCAUCUCGGCCUUCACGGUGCUAUGCGGCGCCCGCAGCGAGCUGAUCCCCGAGCGAGGCGUGUGCUGCAUCUUCUGGCUCAACGUGGCGGCCGCCCUCAUCCAGAUCCUGACGGCCGUCAUCAUGGUGGGAUGGAUCAUGAGCAUCUUCUGGGGGAUGGACAUGGUCAUCCUGGCAAGUCAGUCUGGACUUUUCACCUUGUUGCCUCUUUUUCUUCUCACCAACCGGAACUGGAGUCUUUGACGCCUUGAGGGAAUUUUGAGUUCUAAAUCUGUUCAAAAGACACAUUUUACAUUUUAAAAUUCUAAAGUUAACACCAGAGUGAUGUGAUGUGAAUGUUUUAUCACUGUCCAAUGAAAAGCAUGUAUCUCCCCUUAAAUUAUUUUUUAUUUGUAUAAAAAAACCCCAUAAAGAAUUUAAAAAACCUUGUUAUUACUUUUAUCAUAAAAGGUUAGGGCCUGAGCACCGCCAUACGAAGGCUCUCUUGAAACUGCUGUUUUGGCAAAAAAUGUCAUAUUUUAGGGGCUCUGAAAACACCCCCCCCCCCCCCCCCCCAAAAAAAAAAAAAUUCACUCAGUAGCGCCCCCUUUUAAUUAGCCCCAGCCACCAGUUUCACAGAUCUUCACAAAAUUUGGUGGAGAAGUCUAUCAUGAAAGGACGCACAAAUAAAGUCUCAAGAACCCAUGUUCCAAAACAAACAGAAAGUCAGCCACCGGGGGUCAUAUUUUGGCAAACUAGUCUCAGGGACUUUGACCGAAUGAGCCCAAAUGAAGAUCACGGAUACUAGACAGACAGGCAAUGUUAUAUUGCGAAGGACUUUAGGCUGCCGCAUAGGAUGCGGCCGGGGCAUGGCAACAAACUUUGAUGAUGGAUCAGACAGUUGGCCACUAAACUGUAAACGUUAUUAACUCUGUUCCACCAGGUCAGAUCUUCAUCAUAAUUGGUACAUAUGAUGAAGACACCUUCAAACUAUACAUAGGUCACUUCCCGAAUUGGUCUGGAUUUCGACUUACGUGAACCCUGAGCUGCGUAGGGGUGCGGGGGCCUGUUCGACGCAGCUCGACUAUAUUUUUCAGAUAAUUUGAUGAUGCAUGUUUUCCACAAACAGUGCCAACAUGUCGCAAUAACUGCGCGAAUGCUAACAGCUUUGAUGUCGCCUCUAUACUGCGAUGUCACAUGGCAUGGGGGAUUGCUGUGAUAUAUGGUGAUGCCCCCCCAUUCAUUUUCUUUUUCAGAGCUGAUGUUAAGAUGUAUAGCGAAGCCUGAGGAAGGACGUUUCAAAGCAGUCUCCCCUAACUAAGAAAGAAACUUUCGAUUUUUCUCACAGUAGGCUGUGGGGACGCAUAUUCCUGUUAGAACAUCAUUAAACAGUCACUUUUGCAUCACCAGCCUAAACAUGUACACUGCAUACUUUCAGUGUUUGUACAUGUGAGCAUCUCCUCAGGAUCAUAACUUUGUCCCUCUCUAAUGAUGGUCCUGCCUCGCGUGCGAUCAUCCGUCCAUUCUUCUUCUGCGGCGUCCACCCUUCUAAUGAGCAUCAUUCUCUUCCUCCCACGUGGUGGCCUCCCUCCUGCCUCCAAUGCUCCUUCCUUAUGUGAUCUUUCUGCCAUUAAUUCCACCCACGCUGCUCCCUGCAUGCGCACGUCUUCUUCCUCGUCAUGGAUCAAGUCAAUCCGGCUUGUGUUGCUUCACUCGUAAUGUUUCAGCAUCUCAUUAUGAAAACCUUGUGAUGUUCAAACGCUAACUCUCCUCUCCUUCUCCUUCUUCUUCUGUUCGUCGUCAUCGUCUUCCCGACCCCAAGUUUCUGACGGCUACCGGGACCAGAGCGUUCCACAGGACGUCUGAGAGGAACCUCGUGGGCGGUCUUUUUGGGGGAUCUUUAAACGUCAGCUGCAUUGGCGUUGUGCAAAUUAACUGCGGAAAGACAGGAAUUAAUCACCAAAAUGUUAGCGAGCUCGCUAGCCAGCUGAGUCAUGCUAGCUGCUAGCUUAAACAAAACCAGGAAGGAAGUGGAGAAACAGGAUGUGGUUGCCUUUUUUUUUUUAAUCAUAUAAUCUUACACAAAGUGAAGGAAUUUCAGCAGAGGAGGACUUUUGUUGUUGUUUUUUGGUGUUUUUGGUUUGUGAAAUGCAUAUGGUAAAUACAAGAAAGACAGGAUGAUGCCACUUUUGUGAUGUAAAUGUUGCUUCAUAGAUUUUUUUGCUGACUUUUGCUGACAAUAUCAUUUUACACGACGGAGUAUUAGGGCCACAUUGAAAAAAAAAUCGGAGAUUUCAAGAAUAAAGUCGUAAAUUUACAAGAAUUAAGUCGAAAAUGUACAUGAAAAAAGUGAAAAAUUUACGAGAAAAAAGUUGGAACAUUACGAGAAUAAAGUUGGGAAUUUAUGACAAAAUAACUUGUAAAUUGACAAGAAAAAAGUUGGAAAUUGACGAGAAAAAAGUCCUAAUAAUAUGAGAAUAAAAUCUAAAUGUACCAGAAUAAAGUGGUAAUAUGAGGUGUGAUGGUGUCAUACGUGUCAGAGGGAAAAUACAGCAUAGCUCUUCAGGAAGGAAGGAAACUUUCCUCCUGCUUAAGGUACACAAAGUUACCACUUUUUUCUCGUAGGACAAAUGUAGGACUUUAUUCUCCUAAUAUUAUGAGUUUUUUCUUGUACAUUUGCAAGUGUAUUCUCGUAAAUUACGACUUGAUUCUCAAAAUCUCAGAUUAUAUUAAAACUGGUAACAGGCAUUGCCUGAGGCAGCCAUGAAAAGGGGGACUUAUGUGACCUUUGGCAAAGGUAAUGUUACGACUUUAGUCUGGUAAAGUUACGACUUUUUUCUCUUUAAUUUACUACUUUUUUUCCCUUUAAAUUUACCACUUUAUUCCUGUACAUUUAUGACUUUAUUCUCGUAAAUUACGACUUGAUUCUUGAAAUCUUUUUUUUCCAAUGUGGCCCUAAAUCUCCGUCGUCAUUUUAUCAAGAUUGUUACAUUUCAAUAAAAAAACAUGCAUGUACUUAAUCAUACAACUGAUUAGGCAUUGUUGUUCAAUUGUAACCAUGUUUACGUACAAAAAGCAUACUUUCCCAGUGCAGGAGUUUGAUUUUUUUUUUUAAAGCUGCAAGAUAACGCGCUAUUAUGGGAUGUCGCAGUAGUGACACAUCCAGUCGGAUAAUUACCUCUCACGUGUGUGUGUGUGUGUGUGUGUGUGUGUGUGUGUGUGUGUGUGUGUGUGUAUUACCACUUUUUUUCCUCCUAGUGUGAGCUGGAUAUAAAUAGAACCUUCUUCUUUUUUAAGGGAUAAUCUUGCAAGAGAAAAAUCCAAGAUAAUCCGAACUUUGCUGGGAAAAGUGUGCAUUAGCUGUAAUAAGAUUUGAAUUCUAAUUUUAGCCUCCAUUCCACAUUCUACUAUUCUACUGUUUUAAUGUAUAAACUGUUACGUUACUUUUUUUGUGUUUUUUUUUUUUUUUUAAUUCUGGCGUUUUCCUGGGAAAAUAAAACAGCCAAAAGUGUUCCUGCAUGCAUGGUUUUGACAAUAAACAAAAACAAAGUAAAAAAAAAAAGAAAGAAAGAUCAUAGCAGUAUGUACACAAACUGUUGCCAUUAAAGUACUUUAAGUUGAGUCACUGCUUGUUUUCAUUUAUUUAGACUGAAAGUGCUGAGUGG